GUUGGAUUCUAUAUCGUCCAAGCCUUCUGCCAAGCAGAAUAUGGAUGAUGAUGUUUCUUGUAGGACAACAUUGACAAAUUUGAGUAACUCCUCUGCUCCAAAUGUGUCAUCGUCCUAUGGCCGAGCUGGUUUCUCGAGUCAAAUUCAAGGAAAUGUAUUUGGGAAACCCAAAACCCUUGCAAAACCAGGAUCAACAGUUUCUAGGUCAUUUAGAUCUGAGAAAGAAAAGACAGGAGCUUAUUCGCAGAGUAGUUCAAUUUAUGGGUCUCAAAUUAGUUCAUGGGUGGAACAAGGUCAUGAUACAAAGCCAACUAGCAGUGUUUCUACGGGAUAUUCUAAGAAGCCUGAUGAGACGAGCAAGACCGGUCGCAAAAGGCUUAAACCAGGAGAGAAUCCUAGACCAAGGCCAAAAGAUCGGCAAAUGAUCCAAGAUCGUGUGAAAGAACUGCGAGAAAUUGUUCCAAAUGGGGCAAAGUGUAGCAUUGAUGCACUACUAGAACGCACGAUCAAGCACAUGCUUUUCCUGCAGAGCGUCACAAAACAUGCGGACAAAUUAAAACAGACUGGAGAGUCAAAGAUUAUCAGCAAGGAAGGAGGGUUGCUUUUGAAAGAUAAUUUUG
rnacentral:misc_RNA from 1 species